ensembl:snRNA U6 U6 spliceosomal RNA
GUGUUCGCUCACUUCAGCAGCACCUACACAAAAAUCGGAACAACACAGAGAAGAUUAGCCUGGCCCCUGCACAAGGAUGACACGCAAAAAAUAGUACGUACGACAUGAUC